rnacentral:lncRNA from 1 species
GGUGGGUGUCUUGCCCGAUUAUGGGUAUUCUCCAGGAAUCAUGAGUCUAAUCUUUUUAUGGAGCUUAGACUCAUCUUUCAUAUUUAGGAAACUUAGCUCCAAAGCUUCCUCCCCCCAAGUAGAACUUUCAGAAAUGAGAGCAGAAAAGGAGCGUUAGUUUAUCCCCCGGACCGAGCCUCUGAAUUCCAUUCUCAAGAAAGAAGAAUCCAUCUCUAGCGGUUCCAUAUUCUCUUCUAGAAAAAGAACAAGAGAGUUUCAGUGAGGGGAGAGCUCCUUAUCAUAAGAAGAUAAGACGAACUUGACUUCUCAUCUCUUUUAUCGAAGUUCUUGCAAAAUAAGUCUUUUUCUCUUCUCAGUCCCGAUCGAAGAAGUAUUUACUAAUCUAUUUGUGGGUCCUAAUCUCUGUCACUCACUUUUCUUGGGCGUAGGCUAAGAUGAUUGAACUAGAGAGAAAGGUCUUUAUUCCUACUCCCUAGCCUUCAGGAAGUGUGAACUAGCUGGCCAGAGGUAGAGUCAAGUAUGUGACAUCCUUGCUGAAGUCUGAGAGAGCACCUUUCUUUGUGUAUUUUCGAAUUGAUAUAAUACCCCC